AUGUACAAAUCUGGCAAGAGGAUACAAAACCCAUCCUUAUUGGCACCACAAACACAUGAUGGGCUCCAGGGGGCAACACUGCUAGCAGAUACUCCCUCCGUCCGGAAAUACUUGUCAUCAAAAUGGAUAAAAAGAGGUGUAUCUAGAACUAAAAUACAUCUAGAUACAUCCCUUUUUAUUCAUCUUGAUGACAAGUAUUUCCGGACGGAGGGAGUACUAUUAUGCAGUACACAAACCACACAGGGAGUGUUGGGGAUCAUGCCCAAAUGUCAAGUCUUACCACCAAUAUACAAUCAUAUAUCAUUGGUUCAUGAUACGAGAUAG
rnacentral:rRNA from 1 species